rnacentral:lncRNA from 1 species
GAAGGCUCAUGAGGUAUCAAAGUGCCUGAUGAAUGAGAUCAUACCGCGUUUUGGCUUGUCUAGCUUCUUACAGAGUGAUAGCCCUAGAGGACCUAGAGGAUAGUUCCCUAGAGAACUUGAAAAGCCUAUGGAGAAAGAAGGAUGAAAUUGCCUGGUAAUCUCCUUCCCUCCUCAUCAUGAGGACUCCACUCCUGAUGCUCUUUCCAGCUUUCCUGGUCUUAUUCCAUGGACCCUCACCAGUGGGCUGACAACUUCCUGGUCAGACAAGGGAACUCUGGGGGACCAGGAUUAUCCUGGUAAACUCACCCACUAUGCUUCUCCAGAACCUUCCUUGAAGCUUCUUCAUAACCUCCUGAAAACUGACAAACCGAUUGAUAGAAUGUUUUGUGACUACCAUCAUCCGUGGGGACGAGCUACCAGGAGACUGCUGCAGAACCUGACCAUUUGUGCACCUAAGGGAUAUGCUUUUCUCUGCUUCAAGUUGCAAAUUUUCGAUUGCUCCUGCAGCCUGGAGAUCAUGGGACAACUGAUGGGAACACACAUCAUCAACAUCCGUUGGAUGCUGCAGCUGCUGUCUUCAGAUCUCAUAUUUCCCCUCCUAGCACAAACCUUCCAUGAAAUCGGGGACAGCUCUAGACCCUUCUCAGCUUGAAGAAGUUACAGAAGUCUGAGAUCUUUGCUCUUUUUUUCCCCAAAUGAAUUUGGGGAUAACUGCUUGAGGGGGGAAGAUGACGUGAGUGAACUCUGUAAAAAUUGUGUAAAAUAAUCAUUGAAACCAUGUCCCCUUUGAUCUGCAAAAGAAGAAAUCAAGGAUUCCCAGGCUCCAAUGAAUCUAGAGAGAAAGCCCAUCCUUCCAGAAUGAAAGAAGCAACAUUUAAGGGCAAAUCAACUCUCAUUGAUCUUUUGGGGAGUCAUAUCCUCAUUCAGGAAACUAAAUUUUCAUUCAAUUGAGAAAUCUUGUCUGAUUAUCAAUUCAAACCACCCCAGAUUUGCUUUGCCAUUCAUUCUUUGCAAAAAUACUUCAUUAAGAAAUAGGCCUGCUAAGGGAAAAUCUUUUUGCCACAGCCUUUGGGGUUAGGGAAUUUGUUUGCUUCUGAACCUGCAUCUCCAAGCAGAAGGGAUCUCAAUCAUUCACCUCACCCCUUGGUGAGUACCCUUGGUAAAGGGUUUUUAUUUUAUCUACUUUUUAAAGAAAUGUUAAGGGAGUUUUAUUUCUCUUUAACUUUAGAUAAAAGUAAGUCACGCUUAUAAUUUCAUCUGAACUUAUAUAGUUCUUAUUUAAGCAGAAACAUUCCAUUCUUUGUAUUUGUGUGUGAUGUUUGGGACAUAUGUUUACCAUCCUGAGGAGCCAUUUUCCAAGGAAGAGCCAACAUAUGGAUAAUACAUUUCCCUUCAUUCUAAUGCCUUCUCUCUGAUUAUGAACAAUUUAUCUGUAGGGUUGUUUACCUAUCUUGUUCAUUAGACUAGGAGCUGCUUAAGAGGAGGGUUUUUUUUUUUUGUUUGUUUGUUUUUGUUUUUUUGUUUUUUUGUGUUUUUUUUUUUUUUUUGCCUUCUUUGUAUCCCCAGGACUUGGCACAUGCCUUCACUUUUUCUUUGGAAGCUCUGUCACCCCUAGCUCCAUAAAGACCUCUAUUCUCUGCUCUUAAGCUCGUUUUUCUUCAUGUCCAUACCACUAGUUUAACUGCUGCCCAUGCCCAUCCUUGACCCCCAAGGAUCCUGUUUUUCUACUUCCUUUCUUCCAGAUCCAUCUCCCCUCCAUCCAACUAUUUUUGCUCCAGUAAAUAUUUCUAGUUGUAACUGUUAUUUAAAUUCCUUGAGGACAGGGGACUUGAAGACAGGGUCUUAAUCAUCUUUUUAUCUCCCCCAGUGCCUAGUAUUGUAGGCGUUCAAUAAAUAUUGAAUGAAUGAAUGAUAAUUCAAGGCAUUUCCCAUGCACAUAUUCCCUAAAGCCCAAGUUAUUUUAAUCAUAAUAUAAACACAGGGCUUAUAAAAAGAUAUUCAAGGAAGGGAUUAAUCUUUUAAAUGUGUUAUCCAUGGAAUCU